rnacentral:misc_RNA from 1 species
AAGUCGUAACAAGGUUUCCGUAGGUGAACCUGCGGAAGGAUCAUUACUAAAAUUCCAAGUAUGGAAAUUUUAAAAAAAAUCCAUAUAAACCCUUUUGUGCAUUAUUUGACAGACUUCCUCCGAAAUAUUAGAAAUGAAAUUUUCUUAAUUUUAUUAUUAAGAAAAUUUUUAUUUUGUUUUGGGGGGAUAUUUUUAUUAUAUAAACCAUUUUAAUUAAUUAUUGUCUGAAGUCAUUUUUUAAUAUUAUUUUUUAAUAAUAUAUAAAUAAAAAUAAAUAAAAAUAACUUUUAACAACGGAUCUCUUGGCUCUC